AUUUUUUUACCUUUGUAAAUACAUAAAUAAUAAAUACAUGUAGUUUUAUUUUUAUAGCUACUGGAAAAACACUUCCAUGGUUUAAUUGUACCUUUUUAAACAUUGUUGCUGAACGGUUUUGGAAAGGAGAGGCAAAGGGAGUUUUUCUUGACUAAUGUGGAAAAUGUGAAUAAAGCACAAUGAGCGCUUACUUGAUGAUGAUUUAGAUGCUGAGAAAAUUCGGAGAUCUUUCCAUCAUCAUUCUGAACAUCAACCCAAUUGACAGAACUCUGUAUGUUUCAGCAGCAGCUGGAAAAUGUCCGGUGAUCGCUGAGCCUUUCCUGUUUUCUCUCAGAGUACAGAGAGCACCAUACUCUGCCAGCUGGAGGCAGUCUGACUAUCCCUGUGUACACGAGGGAGAAAGUGGUGAUGCUGUUCCAUCCUUCUAGAAACGGGGAUUCUUUCGAACUGUGUACUCUAGAGAAUGGAAUAGCAGACUGCCACGAUGAGUACAACCAUGCGAUAUCCUUUAAGGGGGAAGGUCUGGUGUUACAUGGCUUAACACCAGAAUACCAUGGGAAAUUCGAAGUGCUCCACAGGGAGAGAAAUGUGCUCCUCAGCCAUGUGUCACUGACAGUAAAAGAUCACAAAGAACACAUCACCCUGCAGACUGGAGCUGUCCUCAUUAUCCGCUUCUACACUGAUACGCCAGUGAAGGUGCUGUUUUUCCCCCCGGGGGGACAUCAGCCCCCCCGAACUCUGCUAAACCACAGUGAGGUUCUUGUCCCUGAGGACUUCUUACUGAAGAAAGGAUGCCUGGUGCUGAAAAGAGUCACACCAGCACAUCAGGGCGUUUACAAAGUGCAGUACAUCAGCAAGGAAAUCAAUAUCAACACGGUAGCGGUCACUGUGGCAGAUUCAGAGAGACUGAGUGACUUUGGAAGCCCAUAUUUUGAGAAAAGGAUCAGCGGCAAAGACACAGGUUCUGAAAAUUUGCUCCAAGAUCCCAAAUUUCUAGCAGUGUUUGCUGUUAUAGGUGUUUUGGUGGUGAUAAUUCUGGUGAUGCUGUCAGUCGGGCUGAGAAGGAGGUGGUCGGACGUUAAUGGUAAAUUGCCAGUUCCCACAGGGUUGGAGGAUGACAGCAGUCCUAGCAGGGAACUAAACUGUACAGCGUAGGUGUUCUGGAAGUAUAAAAAUGCACCAACUUGUCAUAGACAAAGAGUUUAUGAUGAAGAAUGUAUUAAGUUUGACCAAUACGUACCUUUCUAUCAUGGAGAAAGAUUAAAUAAGCUUGGUAUCUUCAAUCUAGUGUAAUGGAUAUUAAGAGAAGUAUACAAAAUGAGAAGGCUCCACGGACGAAACGUUGUGUUUUCUUUCUUCUUCUUUUUAGCAUGGAAUAAACCUAUUACUUGUUCCUUUGCAGCCUACGCUUGCUGACGUAGCUACCCACCAAAAUUAUAGUAUACAAAUAUACAAAUUUUGAAGGGGUAUUGUAACAAAAGCGUUCUUUCAGGACUCUAUGCAGACGACACAAUCCGGGGAUGAGUGGGGAAAACACGGGGGGAAAGCAUGUAGGAGUUGGGAAUCAAAACAGGGGGCGUGUCCAUGGUGUGCUGGUGUUCGGGGGAGGUGUGGCUGAGGCAAACAAUCCAGGAGAAGGUCCAAGGGGGAAUCCAAGAGAAGACGAAAAUCCAAAACCAGGCGGUCCAUCCAAGACGAACAGAAUAAAAACGGGAACCAGGUCGGAACCGGCAGGAACAGGAACUUAAAAGCUUGACGUGACCAGGCGCUUCCAGGUCCCGGAUUCGCCUGGUAUGGAAACCAAUGCAGAGCCCGGAACAGAGUAGGCGUCUGGCUUUUAAGGGGAACUGAAAAGGGGUCUGGAACAGGGAGCAGGUGCGGGAGAUGAGUAAAGAACAAGGAAGGGCUGGAGCGUCCUUAAGAGAAGGGGUUUAUGAAUGUGACAGGAAUAGAUCCUGGUAGAAAUUUGUAUACCUACUGUAUUAUGGAAACGGCGACUCAGGGUCUAUAAUUUGUUCAAGUCUUUUUGUUGUUUCUGUGUUCGCCACUCUUUUGUUGUUGUCUGCAGAAUGUAAUAGGUUUACUAACUGCAUCGGGAUCUCACUUGUUGAUACGAGUAAGGAAGAGCAGUGAGCCUUAAACAGGUCCCUGUAGCACACCGGUGCUAACAACUUCCCAAGGACAGCUCAUGCACCUUAAGGUGGCACUGUGCCUGCUGUUUGAUCACAAGUUAUCAGUCCUUGUCAAGCAGUCACCUUGUAGUCCAAGUGCUUAGAAGUAUCCAGUUAUUAACUUUUCACCUGCUUUAUUUUAUUCUCAUCAUUUAAAAAUACUUCAAAUAUUUAUUUUAAUACUUUCUUUUAAUAUGAUUAAUAUAAUAUUAAAUCAAUUUCAUAUAACUGAAUAAUUAAAACAUAUAAGAUAUAACUAAUAUAAUAUUAAAUUAAUAUAAUCUAAUUUAAUCAUUAAACCAUGUAAGAUAUGAUUAAUAUAAUAUUAAAUUAAUAUUAUAUGAUUGAUCGAAUCAUAUAGGAUAUGAUUCAUAUAAUAUUAUUAAAUCACAUUAUUAACAUAUUAUUCAAUUAUUUUCAUACCUAUUUUAAUAUAUUUCAUUUUAAUAUUUUUAAACAAAUUUUAAUGUUUAAACAGUUCAGGAGAGGAGAGAAAAAUGCUAGAUGAUAUGCACUGACAGGAGGUGUGUUAGGGGAGAAAUAACAUUCCUUAUGUAACUCACAAUUCAAAAGAUAGACUAUUAAAGGGACAGAUAUUCUCAUUUUAAAUUCUAUUUUUGUAAAUAAUAAAAUGUAUCACUCACUGCAUUACUACUGUAUAUAUAUAUUUUUAGUUUGAGUGUUAGUCUUAAGCUGUAUUCUGUACAGGAUCUGUUGUGCCAGAAUCUAAAGAGAAACUGAAAUGAGCCAAACACAAACAUUGUUGAAUUGUAGGAAAUACUGGAGUGGGUCCCAGGAAGCACUAACAUUUCCUGUUAGAAAAUUAAUCUGUUUUGUAGCUGAUUGUAGAUAACUAGAGGGUGUAGUUUCACAUGAUCAUUUGCCGUUCCAGAAUAAUCGUUUUGUGUGUUUAACCAAUCACUCUCCACAGUAACCUCUGACUUGGGGUGUGGCUUUACUGACUAUUCCAAAUGUUGCCUGUCUUGAGGGGUCUGUGAUAGCUACGCUUCUGUUUGAUAUUUUCUGUAUACAUAUUUUCUGUCUAAAUAUUGCAAAUAACAGUGAUAUACGUAAGAGUGGAGGGUAAAAUGACUGUCAUAUUUUUUUAUACAAAUAAAGUGAAAAGGCAGACCUGAACAAAAC
rnacentral:lncRNA from 1 species